CCAUCCUGCUCUACUGUUGUGUGUGUUCUUGUCAGUACACAGCCUAGUGUCUGGUUGCUCUACUGUUGUGUGUGUUCUUGUCAGUACACAGCUUAGUGUCUGGUUGCUCUUCAUAUGAAACACACACAUAGGAUCUUUCUCAUGCUUCUAGACACCUGCUGCUCAUUUGAGUGUGUGUGUAGCUGUGUUUUUAUGGGUUUGUUUAAAUUGAUUCAUGACUUCUGGAGGUGUUGGGCAGACAGUGGAGAGAUGGAGGUGUUGGGCAGACAGUGGAGAGAUGGAGGUGUUGGGCAGACAGUGGAGAGAUGGAGGUGUUGGGCAGACAGUGGAGAGAUGGACGUGUUGACAGACAGUGGAGAGAUGGACGUGUUGACAGACAGUGGAGCCAGGACAAAGAGACAUGGGGAAGCAGAUUUAGUUUCUAUGCCCCCAGCCUUUGGAACACUCUGCCAGAAUACCUAAGAAUGGCUGAAACGGUUGAA
ensembl:lncRNA